rnacentral:ncRNA from 1 species
GAUCCUGGUCUUAUCAUCAGCUUUCUUUUAACUUACACAUGCAAGUAUCUGCACAACCGUGAAAACGCCCUUUAACCUCCCCCAGACUAAGGAGCCGGUAUCAGGCACAGAAUUCUGGCCCAUGACACCUAGUAUACACCACGCCCCCAAGGGUUAUUCAGCAGUGAUAAAUAUUGCCCCAUAAGCGCUAGCUUGACUCAGUUAAGAAGAACAGGGCCGGCAAAUACGGUGCCAGCCGCCGCGGCUACACCGAUAGGCUCAAGUUGAUGACUCUCGGCGCUAAGCGUGGUUAGAAGUAUACAUGUAGAGUAAAACAUUCACUUAGCAGUAAUAAGCUUGCUGUCUGGAACACUAAACGACCACUCUAAUUACCCCUCGAACCCACGACAACUAGGUAAACAAACUGGGAUUAGAUACCCCACUAUGCCUAGUCGUAAAUUUAUUUAUACGCCAGGGGACUACAAGCCUAGCUUGAAACCCAAAGGAUUUGACGGUGUCCCACCCACCUAGAGGAGCCUGUCCCAUAAUCGAUAACCCCCGCUUUACCCCACCACUUCUUACUCAGCCUAUAUAUCGCCGUCGUAAGCCCACCAUGCGAAUGCAAGUGGGCUAAAUGGCUCUUACUCCCGUACGUCAGGUCAAGGUGUAGCUCAUGAAGUGGAGCGAGAUGGGCUACAAUUUCUAAGAUAGAACAAACGGAAAACUUAGUGAAACUAAUAAUUGAAGGUGGAUUUAGUAGUAAAAAGAGACAGAGUGCUCUUUUUAACUUGGCACUGGGACGUGUACACACCGCCCGUCACCCUCUUUAACAAUAUAGGCCUGCGGCCUGACAGUAUCAGAAGAGGCAAGUCGUAACAUGGUAAGCGUACUGGAAAGUGCGCUUAGUUCAACAAACCAUAGCCUAAUUCAAAGCGCCUCGCUUACACCGAGCAGAUGUUUAUUAACCUAAACUGGUUUGAGCCCAAAAUCUAGCCCAAUAUCCCCAAACCCUGCCCGAUUUUCCCCAAAACAUUUUCACUCUCCAGUAGAGGCGAUCAAAAAACUUUUUAGAGCUAAAGACCCAGUACCGCAAGGGAAUGAUGAAAUAGAAAUGAAAUAAACCUAAAGCCUAAAAAAGCAGAGCCUCCCCCCCGUACCUUUUGCAUCAUGGUUUAACUAGUCAAACGGAGCAAAACAAGCUUUUAGUUAAACACCCCGAAACUUAGCGAGCUACUUCGAAAUAGCUUUAUAGAGCCAACCCGUCUCUGUUGCAAUAGAGUGGGAAAAUUUUUAAGUAGAGGCGAUAGACCUACCGAGCUAAGAGAUAGCUGGUUAUUCAGGAAAAGAAUUUUAGUUCUGCUUUAAGACUUAUUUAUUUCUUCAAACAAAUUUCUAAGCUUAAAAGUUAUUCAAAUAGGGCACAGCCUAUUUGAAAUAGGACUCAGCCUAAAAUUUAGGGUAAAAUUCUAGCAUAGUAAGAAAGUAGGCCUAAAAGCAGCCAUCUUUUUAAAAGCGUUAAAGCUUGUUUACAUCUGCAUAAUAAAUUCCACCUGUACUUUUAAACCCUACACUAGUACUGAAUGAUUUUAUAUUUUUAUAAAAUACCCCCUGUUAAAACUAGUAACAAGAAUCUGAAUUUCUCUUAAAUAUAAACUUAAACCAAUAUUGACCCCAUCGGUAUUUAACGUAAAUGACCCAACUAUAGCAACCUCCCUCCGAAAAACCUACAAAACACCCUGCGUUACCCUAACACUAGUAUAUUUUAAGAAAGAUUAAAAGAAAGUGAAGGAACUCGGCAAAUACCAGCUCCGCCUGUUUACCAAAAACAUCGCCUCCUGCUCACCUAUAGGAGGUCCAGCCUGCCCGGUGACAAAGUUUAACGGCCACGGUACCCUAACCGCGCAAAGGUAGCAUAAUCACUUGUUCUUUAAAUAAGGACCUGUAUCAACGGCAUCACGAGAGCUGAACUGUCUCCCCUCUCUAAUCAGUGAACCUGACCCCUUCGUGAAAAAGCGAAGAUAAGAAUACAAGACGAGAAGACCCCAUGGAGCUUAAGACCACAUAACACACUUUUUAUUUUAACCCUAAAAAAUGAGGGACCUGUUAGCCAGUCUUCGGCUGGGGCAUCCAAGGAGUAAAAUUUAACCUCCCUAACAAAACAUCUUAGAGCUACAACUCCAAGGGGCAGCAAACUGAUGCAAAUGACCCGAUUAUCGAUCAAUGAACCAAGUUACCCUGGGGAUAACAGCGCAAUCCAUUUUGAAAGCCCCUAUCGACAAAUGGGUUUACGACCUCGAUGUUGGAUCAGGGUAUCCCAGUGGUGCAGCCGCUACUAAAGGUU